CCCUUAGAUGUUCUGGGCCGCACGCGCGCUACACUGAUGCAUUCAACGAGUCUAAAACCUGCUCUGAUAGGGGUGGGUAAUCUUUUGAAUGUGCAUCGUGAUUGGGAUAGAUGAUUGCGAUUUUUCAUCUUCAACGAGGAAUGCCUAGUAAACGCAAGUCAUCAGCUUGCAUUGAUUACGUCCCUGCCCUUUGUACACACCGCCCGUCGCUCCUACCGAUUGAAUGAUCCGAUGAAUAUCAUGGAUUGAGGAUGCAAGUAGGUUCGCCUAUCUUCAUCUUCGAGAAGUGAAGUAAAUCUUAUCAUUUAGAGGAAGGAGAAGUCGUAACA
rnacentral:rRNA from 1 species